UUUUAGCUAAGGCAAUUCCCAUCUUCACAGGCGGUUCCCCUGUGCGCUGUGUCAAAAUUCCCCAAAUUCCUCCUGCUUUCGUUGGUCUCCCCUCUGGCACUGUUAGAUUUCAUUGCAUCGUCUGUGGAGCUAUCCGGAUGCCUGGAGUGCCGACGCCUUCGAAAAGGCACAUUAAUGGAUCAUCGACAAUAAAAAAAGAAUUUCACUCAGUAAACGAAGCUCGUGAUAAAAAUACUAAACACCAUAAAAUAGAUAACUUUUUAGCAAUGACUCAGAAAGACGAAAAGUUGUUGCAACGCCGCCUCAAAUGUCGAUAGGCAACAACUAAUCGGCUUCUCGCAAAUGCAAAUCAUGUGAAUCUUGAUGGAACGAUAUCUCACAUACAACAUGAUGUUAAUAUUGGAGUAGCUUUUCCAACUUCAGAAACAGUUACUGUGCGGGGAAGUUUUUCUUCAUUGGAUGCAUAUGACAGGGAGAAAGAUAUGCUUCUUCCUUUUCAUGUUUUUGAAAAAGGUACAUAUAUGUUUACAGACUAUUGAAAAGAAACAACUGCUACUUGAAGCAGAUAUUCAAAUUUUCUUCCUUUUCAUCUGUUAUUUGGAACUCAGUGUAAUAUGUUGGACUUUCUAUUCUUUAUUUUGCCUAGUGUAAUGAUUAAGCUCUAUUCUUCCUAUUAUUUGAAAACUUAGUUGCUUUUAGAAUUCGGAGUAGAAAUCACACGAAAUUUUGGUGAUUCUACUUCAUCUAUUUAAUUUGUAUACUAAAAGAAGAUGAAUCUGAAUAAUGUGUGGUUGGCCACUAAAAAAUACGGCAUUCUGUCAACUAUAGUUGUUGGGGCAGAAUGUAAAGUUGUAUUCCACCCAAAGGACAACCAGAACUGGGCAGAAUUAUGCGAUGACAAAAUUGAUUGCGGCCAUCUUUCAUGGAGUUAGAUGAUGCUAAAAAAAAGUUGGGGCAGAUUGGUUGAGUUAAAUUUUAAUGAUGAACUUACUACUGGUUUACUUU